GUGUGGCGGCGGCGUCAAGCGCCGACAGCGUCACAUGGAUCUCCUCGAGCCAGGGCCCUCCGUGUACCCGCACCUUCCCCAUCGCGCACGAUCUGUCCGCUCCGACGCACGGUGAGCGCGCUGCCUCCGCCUUGUCACCGACGUCCUGAUCCAUCGGCGGCAACGACGGAUCCUUCUGGCCGGAUCAAGGCGCGGAGACCCGUGGGAUCCCCUCCUUCGGCAGGACCUCCUCAUCUGGCCUGAUGUGUAUCCAACGGCAUGGGAGAUUAAAGAUUUGCAUGAGACUGACGAUUGUGAUUUUGGCCCUGUACUGAAUAAUUUUGGGAGCGACUGGGUGAUGAUGAUUACAAGCCAGACUUCUGCAUUCCGGCUGACAGGCUCGCUGGCACAGCCACAUAAUCUCAUGCAUUCAAAUUGCUAGCUACACGAAAUACGCUCAGAUCUACGAGUAGGAAUCCAAGAUUCCUCGUGUAUGUUCAAUUUCCAGAAUAGGAAGAACCAUACCAACAACAUACAUACAUAUUACAGUUCUGCAUUUUAAAUUUGAAGACCAAGGCAAAGCCCGAUCGAUGUAAUUGGA